rnacentral:rRNA from 1 species
AUUGAACGCUGGCGGCAUGCCUUACACAUGCAAGUCGAACGGUAACAGGUUAAGCUGACGAGUGGCGAACGGGUGAGUAAUAUAUCGGAACGUGCCCAGUCGUGGGGGAUAACUGCUCGAAAGAGCAGCUAAUACCGCAUACGACCUGAGGGUGAAAGCGGGGGAUCGCAAGACCUCGCGCGAUUGGAGCGGCCGAUAUCAGAUUAGCUAGUUGGCGGGGUAAAAGCCCACCAAGGCAACGAUCUGUAACUGGUCUGAGAGGACGACCAGCCACACUGGGGCUGAGACACGGCCCAGACUCCGACGGGAGGCAGCAGUGGGGAAUUUUGGACAAUGGACGCAAGUCUGAUCCAGCCAUGCCGCGUGCGGGAAGAAGGCCUUCGGGUUGUAAACCGCUUUUGUCAGGGAAGAAAAGGUUCUGGUUAAUACCUGGGACUCAUGACGGUACCUGAAGAAUAAGCACCGGCUAACUACGUGCCAGCAGCCGCAGUAAUAC